rnacentral:rRNA from 1 species
ACCAAGGAGUCUAACAUGUGUGCGAGUCUUUGAGUGAUCGAAACUCCGAGGCGAAAUGAAAGUGAAGGCGACUUCGGUCGCUGAGGUGAGAGCCUUUUACAAAAAAAGGCGCAUCAUUGACCGACCUAUUCUACUCUUAGAAAGGUUUGAGUAAGAGCGCAUCUGUUGGGACCCGAAAGAUGGUGAACUAUGCCUGAAUAGGGUGAAGCCAGAGGAAACUCUGGUGGAGGCUCAUUGACCGCAUCAUUGACCGACCUAUUCUACUCUUAGAAAGGUUUGAGUAAGAGCGCAUCUGUUGGGACCCGAAAGAUGGUGAACUAUGCCUGAAUAGGGUGAAGCCAGAGGAAACUCUGGUGGAGGCUCGUAGCGAUUCUGACGUGCAAAUCGAUCGUCAAAUUUGGGUAUAGGGGCGAAAGACUAAUCGAACUGUCUAGUAGCUGGUUCCCUCCGAAGUUUCCCUCAGGAUAGCUGGAACUUACGGCAGUUUUAUCAGGUAAAGCGAAUGAUUAGAGGUCUUAGGGUUAAAACAACCUUAACCUAUUCUCAAACUUUAAAUUGGUAAGAAGUCCGACUUGCUUAAUUGAAGCUGGACAGUGAAUGCGAGUUCCUAGUGGGCCAUUUUUGGUAAGCAGAACUGGCGAUGCGGGAUGAACCGAACGCGCGGUUAAGGUGCCAAAGUCGACGCUCAUCAGACCCCACAAAAGGUGUUGGUUGCUCUAGACAGCAGGACGGUGGCCAUGGAAGUUGGAAUCCGCUAAGGAGUGUGUAACAACUCACCUGCCGAAGCAACUAGCCCCGAAAAUGGAUGGCGCUCAAGCGUCGCACCUAUACCGUGCCGUCGGAGCAGAUGCGAAGCUCCGACGAGUAGGAGGGCGUGGGGGUCGUGACGCAGCCUCUGGCGCGAGCCUGGGUGAAACGGCCUCCAGUGCAGAUCUUGGUGGUAGUAGCAAAUAUUCAAAUGAGAGCUUUGAAGACCGAAGUGGAGAAAGGUUCCAUGUGAACAGCAGUUGGACAUGGGUUAGUCGAUCCUAAGAGAUAGGGAAAUUCCGUUUGCAAGCGCCCGAUCUUGGGCCGCCUAUCGAAAGGGAAUCGGGUUAAUAUUCCCGAACCGGGACGCGGAUAUUGCCGUUCGCGGCAAAUGCGGUAACGCAAACGAACCCGAAGACGCUGGCGGGGGCCCUGGGAAGAGUUCUCUUUUCUUUUUAACGAGCUUUCACCCUGAAAUCAGCUUGCCUGGAGAUAGGGUUUAAUGCUCGGUAAAGCAGCACACUUCUUGUGGUGUCCGGUGCGCUCUCGACGGCCCUUGAAAAUUCGGGGAAGACAUUGAUUUUCGUGUCCGGUCGUACUCAUAACCGCAGCAGGUCUCCAAGGUGAGCAGCCUCUGGUU